CACAUAUAUAUCUGUACAAGUCGCUCUGGAUAAGAGCGUCUGCUAAAUGACGUAAA
rfam:Salmo salar isolate Sally breed double haploid chromosome ssa28, whole genome shotgun sequence.